GAUGAACGCUAGCUACAGGCUUAACACAUGCAAGUCGAGGGGUAGCAGGGUAGCAAUACCGCUGACGACCGGCGCACGGGUGAGUAACACGUAUCCAACCUUCCCAUAACUCGGGGAUAGCCUUUCGAAAGAAAGAUUAAUACCCGAUAGUACUCAUAUAGGGCAUCCUACAUAAGUUAAAGAUUUAUUGGUUAUGGAUGGGGAUGCGUUCCAUUGGGUAGUUGGUGGGGUAACGGCUCACCAAGUCUUCGAUGGAUAGGGGUUCUGAGAGGAAGGUCCCCCACAUUGGUACUGAGACACGGACCGAACUCCUACGGGAGGCAGCAGUGAGGAAUAUUGGUCAAUGGGCGAGAGCCUGAACCAGCCAAGUAGCGUGAAGGAUGAAGGUCCUAUGGAUUGUAAACUUCUUUUAUAGUAGAAUAAAGUGAUCCACGUGUGGAUUUUUGUAUGUAUACUAUGAAUAAGGAUCGGCUAACUCCGUGCCAGCCGCCGCAGUAA
rnacentral:rRNA from 1 species